AUUGAACGCUGGCGGAAUGCUUUACACAUGCAAGUCGAACGGCAGCACGGACUUCGGUCUGGUGGCGAGUGGCGAACGGGUGAGUAAUGUAUCGGAACGUGCCCAGUCGUGGGGGAUAACGUAGUGAAAAUUACGCUAAUACCGCAUACGAUCUAUGGAUGAAAGCGGGGGAUCGCAAGACCUCGCGCGAUUGGAGCGGCCGAUAUCAGAUUAGGUAGUUGGUGGGGUAAAGGCCACCAAGCCAACGAUCUGUAGCUGGUCUGAGAGGACGACCAGCCACACUGGAACUGAGACACGGUCCAGACUCCUACGGGAGGCAGCAGUGGGGAAUUUUGGACAAUGGGCGAAAGCCUGAUCCAGCCAUUCCGCGUGCAGGAUGAAGGCCCUCGGGUUGUAAACUGCCUUUGUACAGAACGAAAAGGUUUCUACUAAUAUUAGGAGCUCAUGACGGUACUGUAAGAAUAAGCACCGGCUAACUACGUGCCAGCCGCCGCGGUAA
rnacentral:rRNA from 1 species